GUAACCUCGCAGCGGUGGUCCACCGCCACCUCCUCUCAAGAAACCGGUGUCGCUGACGUAAAGCCCUGUCUAGAACCCGGAUGGAGCAGCCAUUGGGGGAAGUGGACAGGGCCUGUCGCUAACGGAGGAGGGAUCUCUGGAGUAAAACAAAAAAAGACCAAAAGAUUCAACCGUGGACAAGUAUUGUACCGGAUCCAAUAACAACAUUCUGUGGAGAUCUGGAAAUAAUAUCCGGACUUGUUUACCUUUGGACAUUCGGACCCUAUAAGACCGAGACUUGAACUGUGGAAGUUGAUCUGGGGAUAGCUAACUACGUGUAGCGGAAAAACACUUUAGCUUACGUUAACUGAGCUGAGGACAAUCGAAACCCGGGGCCCCAGAUACAUUAUAGUGACCUGCUAGGCUCCGAGCGAAUCCAGGGACUUACUUAAUGAAUUAUGUCUGCCACAAGCAUUGACCCUCAGAGAUCAAAGGGACAAGCAUCUAAAGUGCAAAAUGGUUCACUGCAUCAGAAGGAGACGGUCCACGACAAUGACUUUGAGCCGUACCUCACUGGCCAAUCAACCCAGGUGCGUGACUGGCCGCAGAGCAACAGCUACCAGUCCAUGACUGACCCCUACCUGUCCAGCUACUAUGCCCCCUCCAUCGGCUUCCCCUACCCCCUCAACGAGGCCCCUUGGUCCACCGGAGGAGACCCCCCCAUCCCUUACCUCACCCCCUACGGACCGUUGAGCAAUGGAGACCACCACUUUAUGCCCGACACCAUGUUUGGCCAGCCUGGAGGGCUUGGUAACAGUAUUUACCCUCAUCGUUUUAACUUUUUCCCUGAGAACCCGACCUUCUCCACCUGGGGCACCAGUGGCUCCCAGGGCCAGCAGACUCAGAGCUCAUACGGAGGUAGCUAUAGCUACCCUCCCAGUUCCCUGGGGGGGCACCCUGGUGCCUGACAGCCAGACAGGCUUCCACAGCGACACCAUCAACAAGGCCCCAGGCAUGAACAGCCUGGAGCAGGGCAUGGUGGGCCUAAAAAUCAGUGGUGACAUCACAGGCCAGGGGUCAGGGGUCAAGGCUGUGGGCUCUGUGAUUGGUGGACUGCCGGCGGUGGCGCAGGGGAACGGGGGUUCGCCCAUCGGUAUGCCCCUGCCCAAGCCCACCUCAUGGGCGGCCAUUGCCAGUAAGCCGGCCAAGCCCCAGCAGCUGAAGGCCAAGAUGAAACCAGGCAUGUCCAGCCCUGGGGGAGCCCUGCCCCCUCCGCCCAUCAAACACAACAUGGACAUCGGCACCUGGGACAACAAGGGGCCUGUGAAUAAAGUGGCCCAAGCCCCCAUGCAGCAGGCUAUGAGCAUGCCCCUUGGUCACCCCAUGCAGCAGAACCCCAUGCAGCCCCCUCCCCAGUCCCUGGUGCAGCAGCAGAUACAGCCCAUGGCCUUACAGCACCAGCCCCCCCAGCACCACCAGCCCCCUCAACCCUACCAGAACCACACCCAAACCCCACCACCCCAGACCCGCUGGGUUGCCCCGCGCAACCGUAACUUCGGCUACGGGCAGGUAGGGGCCGGAAUGGAUGGUGGCAGUAUGAUUGCCGUAGUUGGCGGGGGUAACGGUGCCCCCGUCGGUUCUGCCACUAUGGUACCCGGUGGAGCAGAGAAUCACCCGGUGCUGGAGAAGCUGCGUGCAGCUCACAGCUACAACCCUAGGGAGUUUGAGUGGAACCUGAAGAACGGCCGCGUGUUCAUCAUCAAGAGCUACUCUGAGGACGACAUCCACCGCUCCAUCAAGUACUCCAUCUGGUGCAGCACUGAGCAUGGCAACAAACGCCUGGACGGGGCCUUCCGCGGCCUCAAUUUCAAGGGACCCGUCUAUCUGCUGUUCAGUGUCAACGGCAGUGGGCACUUCUGCGGCGUGGCAGAGAUGCGCUCGCCCGUGGACUACGGCACCAGCGCUGGCGUGUGGGCGCAGGACAAGUGGAAGGGUAAGUUUGAUGUGGACUGGCUGUUUGUGAAGGACGUGCCCAACAGCCAGCUGCGCCACAUCCGCCUUGAGAACAACGACAACAAGCCGGUGACCAACUCCCGAGACACCCAGGAAGUCCCUCUGGAGAAGGCCAAGCAGGUGCUGAAGAUCAUCAAGGGUUACAAGCACACCACCUCCAUCUUCGAUGACUUCUCCCACUAUGAGAAGAGGCAGGAGGAGGAGGAGGAGGUGCGCAAGGUCUUUGAGCCACCUGCACCCAUCCAGAACCGAACUCGACUGGAUCAGGAGUGCCAAAACAGGAGUAAACAACAGUAGAAGACAUUUAUCCUUGGCUUGAUCAACAUUUACACUAGGACUUAUGAUUUAAAAGACAGAAGAAUUUAUUUGAAAAAAUAAGUCAUUUUUUUAUAUUUAAUCCUGGUGAAUUUCUGCCACCACCGUUAAGACUUGCGCUUGGUGCUCCAGGUACCACCCACCACCUCUUGUGCAGGGAUAACAAGCUGAUUUAAUGUAUUACCUAGCCACCACCACUGCACUGUUUUAGUUCUGAUUGACUUAGAUUUUUACGUUCUCUCCGUCAUGUACUCUUUCUCGUCAGACUGGGUUGGUUUUGACCUUUCCUGCCACCUUCCUCCCUUCUCUUGCUCAAAUUGAAUCAGAGUUUGACAGCACCAAGGAGAAGAGAAUGUCUGCCACUUUAUAUUUCUGUACAAUCAGGAACUACCGUGUCCUGCCCCUGUUUGUCCAUUGGGGGGCGGUGUUGCCAUUCUUCAGAGGUUGAACUGUGCCAACAGGGUUGGAGGAUCCCAAAGGCAACAUUUUCGGACUUGGAACUGUGUGCGAUUAAUAAUACUUCAAUGGUUUAUCUAUUUUUCAUUCAAGAUCAACAAAGUCUAUAUUUUUUGGCUUACUAUUGACAAUUUUCAGUUCAGAAAGCUGCUUUUCUGGAGCCUUAAUAUGUUAUUUUCUAGUUAUUGAUGACAUGUCAAAAGAACUGCUCUUUAACUGACAGUGCUGGAGAAAUCAGGGAUAGUGUGAAGUCACAGACUCUGGACAUUUCACAGGAGGAAGUGCAAAGGCCUCUGGGAAGUAAGUAACUGAUGUGUGUCCUCCAGGAUGAUGGAGCUCUCACCAUCUGAAUCCAAAAUUGUACAAUUUUACAUCCCUCAUACCCCUCCACUUUGGUUUGUUUUGAUAAAUGACGGUUUUGUAUGUUUCAUCAUUGGGAGAUUCUGUUAACGUAUUCAAGCCAGUCUGAGAGAAAUGUAGCAUUCACCAUUUUAAAAUGAUUUUUUAAUUAUGUGAUGUAACUGCUACAUAUGAAUGAAUUGUUUGUUUGCUCUUUUUGGGAAAAUCACUUCGGUUUAUUGUCCGUUGGCCAUCAUUUUGUCUUAAUCCUUUGUUUUGUUUGACUUUUUUUGCUUCUGAAAAUGUGGUUUUGCUAUAAAUCCAGGGCUCUAUGCUGACUUCUUAUUUUUAUAUUUUUUACAAGGAUCACGUGUGUGCUUUAGUUGAAAAAUGUAGGAGCACACAAAGAAAUUAUUUAGGAGCACAAUGAAAAUAUUCUUGAAAUAACAAGCCGUUUCUUUGUUGUAAUGGUGCAAGCAUGACGGUCAUGAAUCUGCGCUCAGUGAGUUCUCUUUGGCACCAGGCGCUGCGGUACAGUGAAGUAUCAUUGCAACAGCUAUCAUCUGGGGGACUUUUCUAAGUGCACUGGUGCUCCUAAAUAACAUUUACAGGUCGCUCAGUAAAAUAUUUAAAUAGUUGCACUGUAAAGCCCUGAAAUCUAUAAUUUCCUUUGUAAUGCUAAGCUUUAACUUAGCAGCAUAUAGUGAUGGAGAAAGCCUACAAUGUAUAACCUGAAAAUAAUGUAACUGAUUUUACUAUCAAGAGUAAGAAAAAAAUAAGAACGAAAUAUGGUUUCUGUGUUUUUUGUUGUUGCUGAAAAUGUGUGUGUGCUUUUAGAAUGGAGUCCUUGAUUAAUAUAUGGAAGGAAGUCAUUGGUAUCAGGAGUUAUCUAUCCAUAAUUGAUUGGGUGUUGAACAUUGAAAGUAUCUCUCUAAUUAAUAGCCUACAAUGCGUAAUCAUGCAGGCUGGCAACAGGUUAAAGCUGGAAUCUGCAUUAGGUGAAACAGCGCCGCAUUUGCUAUUGUUUUGUUUAUGAAAGGAGGAGCGAAGCAUCCAGCAGCACCUUGAUAAAAUAUAUAUCACCAUGGACCAGAAGAGUAUGUACUAUCGUGGGUGCAAUGAUGUGCAUUGAUGUAUGAGGGGAAACAACCCGUGUUCAUUGUUAGAAGUAAUGUAUUUGUUUUAAUAUCGCAAAAGGACGUGGCAGUUUCACUGCUCCGGAUUCCAGCUUUAAAUACUAUACAAUCCUUUGAGUAGUGCUUACUGCUUUUCAAUAUUUUCUGUAAUUUUAUGCCAUGUGUCUUGGCCAGAACAGAGUGCUAAUGAAAGUAAUGACAUGGAUGUGAAGGCUGUCACUCACUGUACAUGAGCAUGAACUCAUCUCUUGUGUUCAUGAAGUUGUGUAACUUGCAAUGUGCGUGGAUCAGUUCCAGACUUGCUGGAUGUGUGGUGCUCGAUUGUGUAUGUCACCACAGUCCCUUCUCAGAUGUUGGUUUUGUCUGUACUCUGUAGCGUAGCUGCCCCUUUACCUGGCCAGUGUAGUGUAUAGUCCUCGUAUGAUUGGAGACAUGACCUUUGACCUUAUACAGGGGACACCCUGGGUGCAUCUCAAUUUAGGGAGAAUCUCAAUUGCACACCCCUCGUCCUCUUUUUGCCUCAAAACCCAUUGGAGAAGGUCAGAGGGGCGGGACCUAUGGGUUUUGAGAAGGAGAUGCCGAGAGGGGACUCUAGGAGUAUGCAAUUGAGAUUCUUCCAGUCUAAAGUGACUGACUUCCUCUCCUUGAUCUGCACUAAUGUGAAAACAGUGUUAAAGCCAUAUGGGUGGAUGCCUUACAUGGUGUUUCUUUCAUCAGUCCUCUUUCACACCAGUAUAGAUAAAGGAAAGAAGACAAGUGGAGAAAGCUACUUUACCCUAUAGACAUGCAUCACUGUUGUCUUUCUUUUGGUCAAGAAGCAUGGAAUGGUUGUGAUGCCUAUAGUUUAGUUUAGGACUUACAUGCACGUGUCAAAUUAUUUGCUGUAAGAAGGCCAUGUUUGUGGUUUUAAAAUAAAUUAUAUCUACUACAGAAUAAUGAAAUGAAAUAAAAAAUAUUAAAAGGAAUUAUCAUCGUAUAGACUUGCAAGUAAACCACUAUAGCUAUAUCAGUGGGAAUAACCUGUAAGGUUUUUAAAACCUGAUCUUAUUUGAUUUUUUCCUUUAGAAGAAAUCAAGCCUUAAUAAACUAUUUAGCAUCAA